CUUGCCCUGGGCCAUCAGUAAGAAGAUCUGCUCUUAGUAGAGCCCUGCUUUCCCGCUGAAGGCCCUGAAAUCACCUGUGUUCCAGGCCACCCACUAAGGAUAAAUAAAGCUCCCCUGAGGUGGGGGAAUUAGCUCAAGUGGUAGAGCGCUUGCUUAGCAUGCAAGAGGUAGUGGGAUCGAUGCUCACGUUCUUCAAACUUUAUUUAGACCCCGGGUCUCCAAACACUCAGGUCUCCAAACCCAAGUCAGAAAGCAGGAUGCUGCUUUGGUUCAAGAUGUAGGAGCAGCAACAAUACAGGGCUGGUGACGGCUCCCUCCUGGCAUUCAGUAUAGCAUAGAUCUACCAUGUAAUUAAUUUUCUGCUUCUUCGAGGAGCUGUGAAACCAAGGGACAUAAACAAUUGCUCUUUUCUCUUUCUGCCUGUAGCUUGAAUGUGAGGCAACUGUGAAAAGUGCAGGGCAGAGCCACCUGGGUAAAUACAGCCCUGGCUUUCUGGUGAGAGGACUGA
rnacentral:tRNA from 1 species